CCACAUUAGAUGCCAUGAUGGAUCUAGGGUGUAAGUACAGGAGGUGGUUAAACUCUGCAUAAGGAGUAGACAACCACCAUAUGUGUGUGUAUAUAUAUGUAUAU